rnacentral:tRNA from 1 species
GCCGAAAUAGCUCAGUUGGGAGAGCGUUAGACUGAAGAUCUAAAGGUCCAUGGUUCGAUCCCGGAUUUCAGCG